UACGUAGGGGGCAAGCGUUGUCCGGAAUUAUUGGGCGGAAAGCGCGCGUAGGCGGUCCGGUAAGUCCGCUGUGAAAGCCGGGGGCUUAACCCUCGGAUGCCGGUGGAUACUGUCGGGCUUGAGUACGGAAGAGGCGAGUGGAAUUCCUGGUGUAGCGGUGAAAUGCGCAGAUAUCAGGAGGAACACCAAUUGCGAAGGCAGCUCGCUGGGACGUUACUGACGCUGAGACGCGAAAGCGUGGGGAGCAAACAGG
rnacentral:rRNA from 1 species